GGUAAGAUGGCUGAACUAAUAGGUGAUAGACUGUAAAUCUAUUUAUGAGUGAAUCUCUCUUACUA
rnacentral:tRNA from 2 species